UAAGGGCACUGGGCCAGAAGUAACCUGGCAGCGGGGCGCCGAGGAAGGAGGUGGGGACUGCCAGGUUAACUAAGUCUCGGCACACCCUACUGCACCUUCCUGUUUUGCAAACCAUUCCCGGUGGUACCAGUUUGAGGCUGCACUGCACACCUGCACAACCUGUCUUCUACUUAGUUCUUCUGAGACAUUUCUGAAAUCCUGAAUUCCUAAAACUGCUCAAUGGCCUUUGUCCCUGUUGGAUACCAGCAGAGUCUCACCGCGGGUAUUGCACCUUUAAUGAGGUCAGGAGUUCCGCAAAAGUAAAACAAAGUCAGGGGUCAAAGACUGGUUCUGGUUCUACCACUUCCUCAGUAUGUGCUCUGGGACAACACAGCAUAUUUGGCAACAUCUCAGUAUCCUUAUCUGCAGCUUGAAGAGGAUAAGGUUUUGCAUCUGACACCCAAGAAAGUGUUUAUAAAGGGUUUUACAGGCUUGUAAAGAGGGUUAUCGAAUAUAAGAGGUUUUAAAAUUCUUAACAGUGCACAGCACGUAUGGAACAGGAGUUCGGGGAAGUAAUUUGGCUGAUAUUUCACAAGCUGUUUUGCAGUUUCAGUUCCAGUCUUGCUCUCUGAAGGUACAAAGUAAGUUGCCAGUGUUAACGUUAUACUGGCUAAGUUAUUUCCAGAGCCUCAUAGAGAUUUUGAACAGAAAUGCCAGAUAACACUCAGCCACUGCAUUUAGUGACUGAAACAUAAUGAAAAAGCAAGUUGGUGGUGUUGGCAUGUGGCUUUGAACAUUCCAUUUUUAAUUCUGUUCUUGAGAAAUAUCCUCCUUAUUGUUGAUAAUUGUAUAAUGUAGAAAUUAAAUUCGCACCUUAACAGGACAGGGGAUAUAUGUAUUUUCUUGUGCUCCACACACAAAGGGCACUUAUUUGGGGAAGAUAAGUAAGCCCAGACUUACAUGCUCCAUGGACAAAGCCUAUGUGUUUGCUGCAUUGAAAAAAUUGUUGAAGAACAGUUCCUUCUUUCAAAGAUUCUUGGCACUUGUUUCGGUGGGCACAUACUUUUGGCUUCGAUGACUCAAAAUCUCUUCAAAUGUUCUAUUGGUAUCUUAGUACUUGUUUACUGUCAUAGAUUCAUUUGGGAUUUUUUUCCUCUUGCCCUAUAAGUAUUUAUCCUUUAUCUAGUCUGAAAUAUAUUUAUUCUUACAUAUUUAUACUUGGAUUACUCAAGAGAAUUUCAGGCAACCUACAGAAAACACUAUGAAACAAGAUAAAAAUAAGUGGGCAAACCAGUAUGAAGUUGAAGAGAAGGAAAAUACAAAACCAGAACAACGCAACAAAUUGGCCAAGCAGAGAAUUUUUUUCUUAAUUUUUUUCUUUUUCUUUUCUUUUCUUUUUUUUUUUUUUUGAGAUGGAGUUUUGCUCUUGUUGCCCAGGCUGGAGUGCAAUGGCCCGAUCUCCGAUCUUGGCUCACCAUAACCUCUGCCUCACAUGUUCAAGUGAUUCUCCUGCGUCAGCCUCCUGAGUAGCUGAGAUUAGAGGCAUGUGCCACUAUGCCUGACUAAUUUUGUAUUUUUAGUAGAGACAGGGUUUCUCCAUGUUGGUCAGACUGGUCUCGAACUCCUGACCUCAGGUGAUCUGCCCCCACCUUGGCCUCCCAAAGUGCUAGGAUUACAGGUGUGAGCCAUGCUCCUGGCCCAAGCAGAGGAUUUUACAGUGUUUUGAAUAAACAGUGAAGAGUAACUGAUCAAGAAAGAGGCACAUAUUUUCCUCAUGCGAAUACUUCAAAAAAUUUUAUUUAAUGAGCCAUCUUCAUAAAGUAGAAACGGAAUGCCCAGUUUGAGACAAGGAUAAAUAUCCUGACAAACCUUUAAGCAUGUUAUUCUUGAAAUACAGCAUUUAAAAUGAAGUAGGCAAUAAAAUGUUUGAGGUCAUAGGUUUCAACAAGACCCUGGAGUACAGAUAUUUUAUGUUGCAAGUAAUGGCAGAUCCAUAUGCUUUGAACAUCAACCUAGAGGCAGAUAGCAUGGAAAAAGUUGAGAUUUUAUAUGGUGGUUCAAAAAUGUGUCUGCUAUACUCAUUAUUUUACUUGUACCACAAUUGAUGCAAAGAGGAAAACGUUUGUUUUAUACUAACUCCAAAAUAAUCUUAAGGAUUUUAAAAAUACUGGUUGAGUCAGCUGGACGUAGUGGCUCAUGCCUGUAAUCCCAGCACUUUGGGAGGCUGAGGCGGGUGGAUCACGAGAUCAGGAGUUCGAGACCAACCUGGCCAAUAUGGUGAAACCCUGUCUCUACUAAAAAUACAAAAUUUAGCUAGGCUUGGUGGCGCAUGCCUGUAAUCCCAGCUACUCGGGAGGCUGAGGCGGGAGAAUUGCUUGACCCAAGGAGGUGGAGUGUGCAGUGAGAUUGCACCGUUGCACUCCACCUUGGGCAACAGAGUGUGACUCUGUCUCAAAAAAAAAAUACUGGUUGAGUUAAGUUUAACAAGAUCAGUGAAGUAGGUUGCUUUGUAAAAAAAAUUCAAAUUCAAUUUACUUAAAGUAAAUAUAUCCUGAAUGAAUUUAAUUUUACAUCCUGAACAAUUAAGCAAAUAAUUUCAAGGUUGAAGUUUAUAUAAUAAUAUGUUACUUAUGUCACGGUAACUAACCAGAGAAUUUCUUACAAACCACCCAAAAAUGUGGAAGUGACUUUGCAACCGGGUAACAGGCAGAGGUUGGAACAGUUUAGAGGGCUCAGCAGAAGACAGGAAAAUGUGGGAAAAUUUGGAACUUCCUAGAGACUUGUUGAAUGGCUUUGGCAAAAAUGCUAAUAGUGAUAUGACAAUAAAGUCCAGGCUUAGGUGGUCUCAGAUGGAAGUGAGGAACUUGUUGAAACUGGGACAAAGAUGACUCUUGUUGUGUUUUAGCAAAGACACUACUGGCAUUUUGCCCCUGCCCUAGAGAUUUGUGGAACUUUGAACUUGAGAGAGAUGAUUUAGGGUAUCUCAUGGAAGAAAUUUCUAAGCAGCAAAGCAUUCAAGAGGUAACUUGGGUGCUGUUAAAAGCAGUCAGUUUUAUAAGAGAAGAGAGCAUAAAAGUUUGGAAACCAGGCUGGAUGUGGUGGUUCAUGCCUGUAAUCCAGCACUUUGGGAGGCUGAGGCAGGCAGAUCACGAGGUCAGGAGAUCUAGACCAUCUGGGCCAACAUGGUGAAGCCCCGUCUCUACUAAAAAUACACACACACACACACACACACACACACACACACACAAACUAACUGGACAUAGCGGUCCAUGCCUGUAGUCCCAGCUACUUGGGAGGCUGAGGCAGGAGAAUUGCUUGAACACAGGAGGCAGAGAUUGCAGUGAGCUGAGAUUGCACCACUGCACUACAGCCUGGGCAACAAUGUAAGACUCUGUCUCAAGAAGAAAAAAGUUUGGAAACUUCACAGCCUUAUAAUACAAUGGAAAAGAAAAUCCCAUUUUCUGAGGAAAAAUUCAAGCAUACUGCAGAAAUUUGCAUAAGUAACGAAGAGCUGAAUGUUAUCCCAAAAAAUGGGGAAAAUGCCUCCAGGGCAUGUCAGAGGUCUUCACAGCAGAUCCUCAUCACAGGCCUGGAGGCCAAGAAGGAAAAAGUGGUUUCGUUCACCCAGGGUCCCUGUGCUGUAUGCAGCCUAGAGACUUGGUGCCCUGCAUUCCAACUGCUCCAGCUAUGGCUGAAAGGGGCCAACAUAGAGCUAGGGCCACAGCUUCAAAGGGUGCAAGCCUCAAGCCUUGUCAGCUUCCAUGUGGCUUUGAGCCUGCUAGUACACAGAAGUUGAGAACUGAGGUUUGGGGACCUCUGUCUAGAUUUCAGAAGAUAUAUGGAAAUGUCUGGAUGUCCAGGCAGAAGUUUUCUGCAGGGGCAGGGCUCUCAUGAAGGACCUCUUUAGGGCAGUGUGGAAGGGAAAUGUGGGGUGUGAGCCCCCACACAGAGUCCCUCCUCGAAUACUGCCUAGUGGAGCUGUGAGAAGAAGGAAACUGUCCUCCAGACCCCAGAAUGGUAGAUCCACUGGCUGCUAGAACUGUGCACCUGGAAAAGUGGCAGACAUUCAACACCAGCCCAUAAAAGCACCCAGAGGGAGGCUGUACCCUGCAUAGCCAAAGGGGUGGAGCUGCCCAAGACCAUGGGGACUAACCUCUUGCGUCAGUGUGACCUGAAUGUGAGACAUGGAGUCAAAGGAGAUCAUUUUGGAGCUUUAAGAUUUAACUACCCUGCUGGAGUUUAGACUUGCAUGGGGCUGUAGCCCCUUUGUUUUGGCUAAUUCCUCACAUUUGGAAGGGCUGUAUUUAUCCCAAAGCUUGUGCCCUCACUGUAUCUAGGAGAUAACUAACCUGCUUUUGAUUUUACAGGCUUAUAAGUGGAAAGAACUUGUCUCAGAUGAGACAUUGGACUGUGGACUUUUUAGUUAACGCUGAAAUGAGUUAACACUUUGGGGGACUGUUGAGAAGGCAUGAUUGGUUUUGAAAUGUGAGGACAUGAGAUUUGGGAGGGACCAGGGGCUAAAUGAUAUGGUUUGGCUGUGUCCCCUCCCAAAUCUCAUCUUAAAUUUUCACAUGUUAUGGGAGGGACCCAGGGGAAGGUAAUUGAGUCAUGGGGGCAAAUCUUUCCCAUGCUGUUCUCAUGAUAGUGAAUAAGUCUCACGAGAUCUGAUGGUUUUAAAAAGGGGUGUUCCCAGCUGUGUGCAGUGGCUCAUGCCUGUAAUCCCAGCACUUUGGGAGACUGAGGUGGGUGGAUCAUGAGGCCGAGAGAUCAAGAUCAUCCUGGCCAACAUGGUGAAACCCCAUCUUUACUAAAAUAUAAAAAUUAGCUGGGCAUGGUGGCACGGGCUUCUAGUCCCAGCUGCUUAGGAGGCUGAGGCAGAAGAAUUGCUUGAACCUAGGAGGCAGAGGUUGCAGUGAGCCAAGAUCAUGCUACUGCACUCCAUCCUGUUGCCUGGAGACAAAGUUAGACUCUGUCUCAAAAAGAGAGGGAGUGUCCCAUAUACAAGUCCUCCCUUUGCCUGCUGCCAUCCAUGUAAGAUGUGACAUGUUCCUUCUUGCCUUCUGCCAUGAUUGUGAGGCUUCCCCAGCCACGUGCGACUGUAAGUCCAAUUAAACCUCUUUAUUUUGUAAAUUGCCCAGUCUUGGGUAUGACUUUAUCAGCAGCAUGAAAAUGGACUAAUACAGUUACAAAGCUGUUUCUUUUAACCUUUAUUCUUGGGGUGGUUUUAGGUUUUAUGUGAAAAUUGGUAGAAGGAUUUCUGUAUUCAACUCACAAAUUGAUUUUGUCUACAAAUUGAAUAGCUAAGAAAAGAUAGCAGACUACAAAUAAUCUUAUGCUGUUCCUUAUUGGUUUCCUCACACAAUAAUAGGUAUAUCUACAAGGGUGCCCAAAGUUUGCCCAUACCUCCUGUAGACUAGUGUUAGGAGCAGGAAAAGCAACAAUGCUUGGCUGGGAUCCUAUCCUACAGCUAGAUAGCUCUUGCAGGAUUCUGAUAAGCUCACUUUUUCUUUGUCUUGACAAAGCAAGGAUAAUAAUGGCUUUCCAAUGUUUUCAAUCUGAGGAUUCCUUCCUAUCUAUUGGUGGUUUCCUUAACCCUGUACUCAUUUUAAAUCAUUUAUUUAUUUAUUAGAGAUGGGGUCUUGCUCUGUCGCCCAGGCUAGAAUAUAGUGGCCAUUCACAAAUGCUAUCAUACUGUACCACAGCCUCAAGCAAUCCAUCUACCUCAGCCUCCCAAGUAGCUGGGACUACAGGUGUGCACUACUGUGCCAGCUUUGACUUUUGUAAAUGGUUCUUUUAUUAUUUUCUUUCUCUGUGCUUUUUCUCCCCAGAAACCUGAUUGAUAAAGUUAUAGGGAUUAGAAUUAGUCUCAGAAAAGAGACUCUCAAAAAUGGCUUUCUAGGAUGGUAUUACUGACAUAUCUGAUGAUUAACUUAUAUAAACUACUUGCCAAGGGAAAUGAAACAGUGGUAUUCUAUGGCAUGAAGUGGCAUCACAGUUGCUAUCAGUAGUGGCAUGAAAUGGAGUGAAAGUGUAGGGCACAAGACUGAAAGAUCAAUCUCUAGCAAUUAGCUGCUAUGACAGUGAGGUUUACUAAAAUUGUUGUAUCAUUUGGCUCUUCUGAUUGCUUCUGUGAGAGUACAUGGAAAAAAAGACAAAUAGCCUUGAGUUCCAAAUAAAAGGCAUGAAUAGAAAAUCAGAAAAUUUCCUUGACAGCUUUGAAGAAAUUCAUUAUCUCUUAUAGCCGAGGAGAAGAUAUGGCUGAGGAUCAAGUCCAGAGCCUGACUAUAAAGGCUUUGGAGUUGCAAUGUUAAUUAAAUGUGACACCUAGUUAUGUUAUGCUAAGGUAAGAGCAUAGGACCUGGUGGAGAAGGCCUAGGACCUAUGACAUGGGAUGGGGGCAUCUGAGCAGAUACGAAUGAGGCUUAGAACUUUAAACAUGAGUUAGAAGAAAGAGUUUCUGUAUAGCCCUGAUGAGUAAGUACAUGGCGUGCUCUUGGAGGAGAGCUUAUACACUGAAGAAUUUGUAGAAUCUUGGUAAAUACUUACCUUGGAUUCAGAAUUGCUGUGUUGACUUGAGUGUCUAGAAGUCUUUCUAAGUGGGUUACUAGAAGCUUGUAGUAAUAAUAUUCCUCAAUAAUAGCUUACAAUCUAAGUGCUGAGACCCCAGAAUUUCCCUGGCAUACUGUAGAAGAAAAAAUCUCAAGGUUUAGGGAGAUGGGAAUGUUGGAUUUGCUCUAUUGUAGUCAUUCUGCUUAGUCAUACUCUAUUCAUACCAUGCCCAGAGGGCCCAUAGAAUUUACUCUUACUAAGACAUUGAAUGAGGGAGAAGAGAUACCCUUGGUAAAUUCUUUUAUGGCUGCCCUCGGUAGAUUAGAGAUGAUGAUGAUUGGGAGCCCACAAUGAAACUGGGACCCAUGAUUUUAUAUUCUGGUAGAUGCUAGGUGGCUCAACUGUCAAAAACAUGUUUGGCACAGUUACUAUAAUAACCUUCAGGAAGAAGUGAAAGUUGAGAUGUUUUGACUGCAAGGAUAGGUAAUAGUAUCCUAUUGAUCCCUGGGUCUCUAGGGAUAAAUAAAACCAUCUGCCUACUGAAGUGCUAUUUGACAUAUGUAGGUGGAAAAAUCCUGCGACUGAUAGGUAGAAACCUAACUGAAAUCACUGUAAUAGAGAUUCAAGACACAGUACCUGAAUCCUAGACAUAAACCCAGUUCACAAACCUGGAAUGCCUUAAUUAAGGGUGAGGCCAGAUGUCUUUAAGGAAGAGUCCCAUAAAGCAGUUAGGUAUAAAUGGUGACUUUUCUGUAAGGCCAUUUCCAUAGGUACUUGUAGCCUUUUACCAGGGUGAUUGUAAACUAAGGAAUGGGAGAUUCUCGUACUUUCUGGAGGUUAAUUGAUUUUAGCUCUAAAUACUAAUCUCUGCAGCCUCAAAACACCACCAAAAUUCCAGUGAUUAAGGUAGAUAUUUUAAAAAGUCAAGUGUAGUCUUGGUUUUGGUCCAUUUCAUAGUGGGGGCAGUGGGACUGAAGUUCCAUUCUGGAGUUAUUUUUCCAGUCCCAAAAUACAUGUGAGUAUAGAUAUAUUGAGUAGCAGAAUUCCUACAUUAAGUUUAUAGGGAGCUAUUAUGAUUGGUAGGGACAAGUGUAACCUCCCUAGCUAACCUCUUCUUCAUGCCAAAGUAGAAUACCAAAAUCAAACUUGAUUACUGGUGACAUUACAGAGAUUAGUGCCACCAUUAAAGAUAUGAAAGCUAUAAGUCUUUUCCUUUUAACUCAUCUUGGCUCAAGUUAUAGCCAAAUUAGUUUUGGAGAAUGUCUUUGGAUUAUUAAAAAUUUAAUCAAAUAUUGAUGCCAAUCAUAACUGUGUUUCCACAUGUGGGAUCUUUACUAGAGCAAAUCAGCACAGCUCUUGACACCUAGAAGGUAGCUAUUGACUUGAAAACUAGAACGUAGCUUUCUUUCCAAUUCCCAUAAGCAAAAAUAAUCAGAAGCAGUUUACUUUCAUAUGAUUGCAACCUCACUGUCAUUGUAUCACCUCAGGGAUAUUUAAAGACUUUUGUUCUAUAAUAGAGUGUCAUUCCAGAGGGACCGUUGUUUCCUUGAUAUCCAAUAGAAUAUCGUGGUAGUCUUUUAUCUUGAUAACAUUAUGCAAAUUGGACCUUGAGAGCAGGAAGUAGCAACCACCCUACAUACUUUUUAAAAUACCCUUAAUGCCAGAGAGUGAGAGAUAAAUCCACUUCAGGAAACUGACACAAACCUGAAAUUUCUAACAACAAAGUUGAGUUCUGGUGCUCUACCUUAUCCUCAAAGAUGCACAGUGUUUGUUUGGCGUGUUUGUAUUUUGAGACAAUAUACUGCAUUUGCACUCUUUGACCCAUGUUACCUGUAUGACUGCCACCUUGUUCAUAUGACUUAGAACAAUAUAAAGUUCCACAGAAAGUCCAGGCUAUGAUGCAAGCUGCCCUGACACUUAGGCUUUAAGAUUCAGCAGACCCAAUGGUAAAUAGGAUAGUAUAUGGAGUCUGUUGCAAGCUCAGUAGGAGAAUCCCAAUGCAGACUCCUAGGAUUUUGGUAUAAGAAUAUGCCCUUAUCUGCUGACAGCUAUUGUGCAUUUGAAAGGCUACUCUUGAUUUGCUACUAGGCCUUAGUAGAGGCUAGACACCUGACCAUAGGAUACUAAGUAACUAUGUGACAUGAACUGCUCUUUAGAAAUGGGGUGUUACCCUUCAUGCUCUCACUCGUAAGUGGGAGUUGAACAAUGAGAACACAUGGACACAGGGAGGGGAACAUCAACACCAGAGCCUGUCAGGGGUUGAGGUGGGAAGGGGAAGGAGAGCACCAGGACAAAUACCUAAUGCAUGUGGGGCUUAAAACCUAGAUGACGGGUUCAUAGGUGCAGCAAACCAUCAUGGAACACGUAUACCUGGAACAAACCUUCACGUUCUAUACAGGUAUCCCAGAACUUAAAGUAAAAUUUAAAAGAAAAAGAAAAAGAAAUUGGGUGUUAACCUAAUUUGUUGGAUCAUAUGUUGAACAUGGGCAGCAGAAUUCCAUUGUCAAACAGAAGAGUAUACACUGAUGUGGCCUGAGAUGGUCUGGAAGACACAAGUAAAUCACAUGAAACAAAUGUUCAUUGAACCUGCCCUUACUUCUUUGCCACCUGUUAUUUUUCAACUCGUUAUCUGUAGGCUUAUGCCAUUUAGCAGAGGAGGAAAAAGUUUAGGCCUUGUUAUGAUAUGCUAGCACCAACUUGAAGCAGACAGCCACAGAAUUAUGUGCCCACACCAUAAUGGAAUGGCCCUGAAAGAUAGUGAGGAGAAAUUCUCCCAGUGGAUAUCACUUUGAAUAGUACAUCUGGUGGUCUUCUUUUUUAGGAAAAUGAAUUGACCUGAGGUAUGGAUCUGUACUGAUUUAUGCACAGUAGUGAAUAGGUUGGUCAAUUACUUGGAAGGAAGAGGAUUCGAGAUAAGGAAGUCAACGGGAGAAGUACAGAUGGAUUCUUAAAAUUGCCCAGAAUGUGAAAAUCUCUGUGAACUACUAUACUGCCCAGCAGAGGGCAUCCAUCCUGAUAGUUAUACAAGAUCUGUCCUGCAGAUGUCAAUCAGCCUCUUUACCCAGUCACUCUAGUGCUUGCUCAGUGGGCCUACGUGACAAUAGAAAUGUAGGCUAAGAGUAGAUUCAACAACGUGGGCUUCUGCUUGCCAAGGAUAAUUCAGUUACUGCCACUAUGGAGUGAUUAAUCUGCUUAUAGCAGAGGCCAUUGCGGGGACCCCAGUAUGAUACUGUUCCCUUGACAGAUUAGUCAACCAUCUGGUGGCAGUUUAAUUACACUAGAUUCCUUUCAUUAUAGAGAGAAGAGUGAUCUGUCAUCAUGGGAAUAGAUGCAUAUUCCAGGUACAGGUUUACCUUCCCUGCUUAGAAAGCUAUUAGUGCCAUAAUUCAUGGGCUUAGAGAAUGCCUUAUUUUAUCACCAUAUAUUACAAAUAUCUUUGAGCAAGAAAGUAAUUUUCUUAUGAGGGAAGUGUGGCAGCAGAGUCAUGCCCAUAGAAUUAACUGAUCUUACCCAUCAGGAACAGCUUGUUUGAUAGGAUGGAGGAAAGUAUGCAGAAGGAUCAAUUGUGGUACUGGCUGAGAGAAAACUCCUGUAAGGAUGUGGUGUAGGACUUAACCCAGUCACCAUUAUAUGUUGCCAUCUACUCAAUAUUCAGAAUGCGUGGGCCUGUGAACCAAGGAGCAGAGGUAGGAGUGGCUCUUCUAUUAUUCCUUUUUUUUUUUGAGAUGGAGUUUCUCUCUUGUUACCCAGGCUGAAGUGCAAUGGCACGAUCUCGGCUCACCACAACCUCCACCUCCUGGGUUCAGGCAAUUUUCCUGCCUCAGCCUCCUGAGUAGCUGGGAUUACAGGCACGUGCCACCAUGCCCAGCUAAUUUUUUGUAUUUUUAGUAGAGAUGGGGUUUCACCAUGUUGACCAGGAUGGUCUCGAUCUCUUGACCUCGUGAUCCACCCGCCUUGGCCUCCCAAAGUGCUGGGAUUACAGGCGUGAGCCACCGCGCCUGGCCCCUGUUAAUCCUAAUAACUCUCUUGAAGAGUUUUUUUCUCUACAACCUUGUCUUUAUCAUAUUGUCCCUACAGCAUUGGACUUGGUGGGUUUGGAGGCCCUAGUGCCCAAGGGAUUGAUACUUUCCCCAGAUGACAUGGUCACAAUUGUAUUUAUUGGGAAGCUGGAACUAUGAUCUGGCUAUUUUGGAGUCUUCAGAUCACUAAAUCAACAGUUAGAAAGGGGGUCAUUGUACUAGUUGGGGUGAUUGAUUCUAACUACCAUGAGGAAAUUGGUUAUUGCUCCACAAAGCCACCAAGCAAGACUAUGUCUUGAAUCUCAAGUAUUCACUAAGUUGUCUCCUAGUAUUCACAACUCUAAUAUUACUGGACAGUGGGGAACUGAAGCAACCCAGUGAGGAUGAGACCACUAAGGACUUGGAUCCUCUGGGACUAAGGUUGGGUGAACCCACCAGAUAAGGUAUGAGUCAGGAAGCCAUGAUCAUCACGUUGGCCCUUGGGCCCAAUAACUACACUGUCUUCUUUGUCCUUUCUAUCAGAACCACAAUUUUGUUGACCUUUUCCAAGUGGCUGUGUCCAUCAGGGGAGACUGAGUCACUUGAUUGGUCUAGCCUCAUUUUUCUUGUUAAAUCUUGAUUGGUCUAGCCUGAUUUUUCUUGUUAAAGGAAUGGUUUAGGCUUAGACAAUUCUGGACAGUGAGAAAGGAGGAAAAGUCUGCUGGAGUCCUUCUAUGAAGGUUUUCCUUGCCAUUAACAGGGUAUAUAAGACACAGACAUGACUUUUUCUGUCUCUAGGCAUGAGUGUCUGCUUCUGAUGUAACUGGAAUGCCCAAUGUCAUUUUGAAAACAUAAGAGGAGCUAACAUUAGAAAAUAAGCUGGAUGGGCGGUGGUGGCUCACACCUGUAAUUUCAGCACUUUGGGAGGCUGAGGUGGGAGGAUUGCUUGAGCUUAGGAGUUUGAGACCAGCCUGGGCAACAUAGUGAGACCUCAUCUCUACUAAAAGUUGGGGGAAAAAAAUUAGACAGGCAUAGUAGCAUGAGGCUAUAGGUGCAGCUACUCAGAAGGGUGAAGCAGGAGGAUUUCAUGAGCCCGGAGAUGAAUACUGCAAUGAGCUAUGAUUGUACCACUGCAAUCCAGCCUAAGUGACAGAGUGAGACCCAUUCUCAAAAAAAAAAAAAAGAAAGAAAGAAAAUAAAUGAAAGGAAGCCAACUGUAAUUUGACAGAUCCCUCACCAGAUUACUGAAUGGUGUAUGUCCACUGCUUGAACUUGGAUGGCCAGGCUGUGAGCCAAGGCCAUGAUCGGUCUCGUUGCUCAAACACUGAAGGCAAAGAGCCAGAAAAUUAACUUAAAUGCAGUUUAGAGAUGGAAAGUGGCACAGAUCUCUAGAGCUCUCCUGCUACUGUCCGGAAAUGCCCUGUAUGUAAGUCCUAAUAAACUUAUUCACUAGCCAAUCUGAACUUGCCUGAAUCAUUUUUUGUUCUCUUGACUCCCUCCCAGUUUUGGAGAUCAUUUUUUCUAUACAGUCCUGGGUUUUUGUGUAAUAGUUGGCAUCACAGGAAUCUAGAAGACCAAAGGAAGAUUCAGGAAGGGGUGUCUGCAGUGGGAAUCCCAGGGUGGUCGACAGCAUCCAUGUAGGGUGAAGUUGCCAACUGCUCAACCUUUGUGGGCUGCUGCAUGAGUACAGGCCUUUUCCAGUGGGGAAAAGGCAUGUAGUGCAAGGACCUAAGAUGUUGAAGUACAAUAAGGAGAGCAAAUGUGCUGUUGCUGUGGUAAGGCUCGCUGCUGAGAAAUGGUUAAAGACGGAAAAAUAGAUACAAAAGUUAAGGGAGGAGCUGCAAUUAGAAAGAGACAUUCAAAUAUCCAUGUCGGCCCUGGUUGGGGAUUUGGUGGAGAAAGUAGACAAAAGGGAGAAAGGGUAGGAACUACUGCAGCUUAUGUGUCCAAAAACAGGAAAGUUCAAAGGCCUGCCAGGUUUUCUAGGACUCCAGCUGGUUACAAAUUAUGACUCAUCCUUGUGCACCUUUAUAAACUGAUGGGCAAAUUACAGCAAGAAAUAUUCAGAGCUCAAAUGCUUCACCUUCAGCUAUAGUUAAGCAGAUCUUCUGAAGCUCUCUAUUUCUCUCUUUUCUUUUCUGCCUGCUUUGAAUCUGCUGUUAUGAAACUACUGGUGUUGAAAUAAAACUCACUGAGUAUGGUACUGCUAAUUCAAGGCUCCAUGGGGAUUUCGUUUUUCUUACACAGUUCAGACAAUUCUAGCUAAAUUGUACAUGUUAGAAACUCAUACAAAACUGAAGAAAAAAGGGGGUAAGCGAGGGUUUUAAAAAAUCAAACUGCUGCUUUUCUUUGGCAAGGUAGCGGUAUACAACUUGACUACUCACAUCGCUCACUUUUUGGAUUGGCAUCUAGUCUUUCUGCUCCUUGCUGACAUCUAGCCUCUCUGUAAAGGAGAUAUAUAAUGAAAAGGAAUUCUUAUAAGGUUAUUGGACCUUCUUAGUGAUACCAACAUGGUAGACCUUGCUAUGGAUGUAUACAAAAACCUUUAUUCUGCUGAUAUUCCUCAGGCUUUGAGAGAGAAAAGAACCACAGUUGUUGCGCAACUGAAACAGCUUCAGGCAGAAACAGAACCAAUUGUGAAGAUGUUUGAAAAUCCAUAAACUACAAGGCAAAUGCAGUCAACCAGGGAUGGUAGGAUGCUCUUUGACUACCUGGUAGGCAACAUGGUUUUAGGCAGGAAUAUUUAGAUACGCUCUACAGAUAUGCAAAAUUCCAGUAUGAGUGUAGAAAUUACUCAGAAGUAGCAGAAUAUCUUAAUUUUCUUAGCGUGUUGGUUCCAGCAACAGAUAGAAAUGCUUUAAGUUCACUCUGGGGAAAGCUGGCCUCUGAAACUUAAUGCAGAAUUGGGAUGCAGCCAUGGAAGACCUUACAUUUGAAAAGAGACCAUAGAUAAUAAUUCUAUGAGUUCUCCACUCCAGUCUCUUCAGCAGAGAACAUGGCUCGUUCACUGGUCUCUGUUUGUUUUCUUCAGUCACCCCAAAGGUCGUGAUAAUAUUAUUGAUCUCUUCCUUUACUAGCUACAGUAUCUUAAUACAGUUCAGACAAUGUGUCCACAUGUUCUUCGCUAUUUGACUACAGUGGUCAUAACAAACAAGAAUGUUUGAAAACGUCGGCAGGUACUAAAAGAUCUAGUUAAAUUUAUUCAACAGGUGUCUUACACAUUUAAAGACCCAAUUACAGAAUGUGUUGAAUGCUUAUAUGUUAACUUUGACUGAUGGGGCUCAGACAAAGCUGAGGGAAUUUGAGUCAGUGCUUGCGAAUGACUUCUUGGUGGCUUGUCUUGAGGAUUUCAUUGAAAAUGCCCAUCUUCAUAUUUGAGACUUUCUGUGACAUCCACCACUGUAUCAGCAUUAACAUGUUGGCAGAUAAAUUGAACAUGACUCCAAAAGAAGCUGAAAGGUGGAUUGUAAAUUUGAUUAGAAAUGCAAGACUGGGUGCCAAGAUUGAUUCUAAAUUAGGUCAUGCGGUUGUGGGUAGCAGUGCAGUCUCACCUUAUCAGCAAGCUUUUGAAAAGGCCAAAAGCUUUUCUUUUAGAAGCUAAAUGCUGGCCGUGAAUAUUGAGAAGAAACUUAAUCAGAAUAGCAGGUCCAAGGCUCCUAACUGGGCAACUCAAGAUUCUGGAUUCUACUGAAGAACCAUAAGGAAAAGAUGAAAAAAACUGUAAAAGAAAGAUGAAAUAAUAAAACUAUCAUAUAAAGGGUGACUUACAUUUUGGAAACAACAUAUUGAAUAUAAAUUUUGAAGAACUAGAAUAAAAUUGACUAUGAUUUAAAAAAA